ACCGUGGCUUUAGAUUGUUACUGUGUGGAUGUGGGCUGGUAACAGUCUACAGCCAUGGUUG
rnacentral:pre_miRNA from 1 species